rnacentral:ncRNA from 1 species
UUUAAUGCGAAGAAGAGAAAUAGUAUACAAGUAGCUUCUAAAGAGAGUCGAUGGUUGGUGUGAAUCGAUGUAGUAAAUUGUUGAAUCCAUCUCUGAGUGUUCUGCUGAAGGAAACAGUAUGUAGAAACGAUUAGCACCCGUUAAAGUGCUUUAAGGUGGAUUAGUAUUCUAAUCAACUAGGGUGGCAACGCGGAGAGCUCGUCUUUCGUCCCUUUU